AUGGAUAGGCUCCUUAUGACACCACCGCACACAGCUCAGGUCGCUUCUCGCACAGCAGCUCCCGCAUUGUCCGCUUCACUCGUCAUCGUCAUCGUCAUCAUUGAUCUCCGACUUGGACUUGUCGGAUUCCUCCUCAUCGUCCUCCUCUACCUCCUUGGCCGCCGCCUUCUUUGGGGCAGCAGCAGCAGCACUCUGAACAAACAAAUCACAGAGCCCAGAUUAGCUAACUCAAACAUAGUCAAUCAGACAAAAACAGCAAGGUUAAAUCGCAGGGUGGGUUCAGCAUGGCUACCUCGCCCUUGUUGUAGGCGGCAAUGGCCUUGUUGUACUCGCCCUUGA
rnacentral:rRNA from 1 species